UACGUAGGGCGCAAGCGUUGUCCGGAAUUAUUGGGCGUAAAGAGCUCGUAGGCGGUUUGUCGCGUCUGCUGUGAAAACUCGAAGCUCAACCUCGGGCUUGCAGUGGGUACGGGCAGACUAGAGUGCGGUAGGGGUGACUGGAAUUCCUGGUGUAGCGGUGGAAUGCGCAGAUAUCAGGAGGAACACCGAUGGCGAAGGCAGGUCACUGGGCCGCAACUGACGCUGAGGAGCGAAAGCAUGGGGAGCGAACAGG
rnacentral:rRNA from 1 species